rnacentral:rRNA from 1 species
UGGGGGAUAUUGCACAAUGGGCGAAAGCCUGAUGCAGCGACGCCGCGUGGGGGAUGAAGGCCUUCGGGUUGUAAACUUCUUUUGCUCUGAACAAGGCGCACCAUGGGGUGUGUUGAGUGUAGGGGUUGAUUAGCGCCGGCUAACUACGUGCCAGCAGCCGCGGUAAUACGUAGGGCGCGAGCGUUGUCCGGAAUUAUUGGGCGUAAAGGGCUUGUAGGUGGCUGGUUGCGUCUGUCGUGAAAGCUCAUGGCUUAACUGUGGGUUUGCGGUGGGUACGGGCUGGCUUGAGUGCAGUAGGGGAGGCUGGAAUUCCUGGUGUAGCGGUGGAAUGCGCAGAUAUCAGGAGGAAUACCGGUGGCGAAGGCGGGUCUCUGGGCUGUUACUGACAUUGAGGAGCGAAAGCAUGGGGAGCGAACAGG